GGGAAAGGCCUUACGGGUUGUAAACGUACCUGUCGUAAGGGACGAUAGUGACGGUACCUUACAAGAAAGCAUCGGCUAACUCCGUGCCAGCAGCCGCGGUAAUACGGAGGAUGCGAGCGUUAUCCGGAUUUAUUGGGUUUAAAGGGAGCGCAGACGGGAGAUUAAGUCAGCUGUGAAAGUUUGGGGCUCAACCUUAAAAUUGCAGUUGAAACUGAUUUUCUUGAGUGCGGUUGAGGUAUGCGGAAUUCGUGGUGUAGCGGUGAAAUGCUUAGAUAUCACGAAGAACUCCGAUUGCGAAGGCAGCAUACCAAGCCGUAACUGACGUUCAUGCUCGAAAGUGUGGGUAUCAAACAGGAUUAGAUACCCUGGUAGUCCACACGGUAAACGAUGAAUACUCGCUGUUGGCGAUAUAAUGUCAGCGGCCAAGCGAAAGCGUUAAGUAUUCCACCUGGGGAGUACGCCGGCAACGGUGAAACUCAAAGGAAUUGACGGGGGCCCGCACAAGCGGAGGAACAUGUGGUUUAAUUCGAUGAUACGCGAGGAACCUUACCC
rnacentral:rRNA from 1 species